rnacentral:rRNA from 1 species
GAUGAACGCUAGCGGCAGGCCUAAUACAUGCAAGCUGAACGGCAAGAUUUGUAGCAAUACGAGUCCUAGAGUAGCGUAAGGGUGCGUAACACGUAUGCAAUCUGCCCGCAACAGGAGGAUAGCUUAGCGAAAGUUGAGAUAAGACUCCAUAAGAUCACGAGAGGGCAUCUGAUUGUGAUUAAACUACAAGGGGUUGCGGAUGAGCANGCGUCUGAUUAGUUAGUUGGCGGGGUAACGGCCACCAAGACGAUGAUCAGUAGGGGAACGU